CCCAGUAAACGGCGGCCGUAACUAUAACGGUCCUAAGGUAGCGAAAUUCCUUGUCGGGUAAGUUCCGACCUGCACGAAUGGCAUAACGAUGGCCACACUGUCUCCUCCCGAGACUCAGUGAAGUUGAAAUGUUUGUGAUGAUGCAAUCUACCCGCGGCUAGACGGAAAGACCCCAUGAACCUUUACUGCAGCUUUGCAUUGAACUGUGAACCGAUUUGUGUAGGAUAGGUGGGAGGCAGAGAAGAGGCCACGCCAGUGGCCUUGGAGCCGACCUUGAAAUACCACCCUGAUUUGUUUGCGGUUCUAACCACGGACAGUGAUCCUGUCUUGGGACCGUGCAUGGUAGGCAGUUUGACUGGGGCGGUCUCCUCCUAAAGGGUAACGGAGGAGUACGAAGGUACGCUAGGUACGGUCGGAAAUCGUGCUGAUAGUGCAAUGGCAAAAGCGUGCUUGACUGCGAGAGCAACAACUCGAGCAGAUGCGAAAGCAGGUCAUAGUGAUCCGGUGGCUCUGAAUGGAAGGGCCAUCGCUCAACGGAUAAAAGGUACUCUGGGGAUAACAGGCUGAUACCGCCCAAGAGUUCAUAUCGACGGCGGUGUUUGGCACCUCGAUGUCGGCUCAUCUCAUCCUGGGGCUGUAGUCGGUCCCAAGGGUAUGGCUGUUCGCCAUUUAAAGAGGUACGUGAGCUGGGUUUAAAACGUCGUGAGACAGUUUGGUCCCUAUCUGCCGUGGGCGUUGGAAGAUUGACGGGGGCUGCUCCUAGUACGAGAGGACCGGAGUGGACGCACCUCUGGUGUACCGGUUGUCACGCCAGUGGCAUUGCCGGGUAGCUAAGUGCGGAAGAGAUAACCGCUGAAAGCAUCUAAGCGGGAAACUUGCCUGAAGAUGAGUCUUCCCGGAGGUUGAACCUCCCUCAAGAGUCGUCCGAGACCAGGACGUCGAUAGGUCAGGUGUGUAAGCGCUGUAAGGCGUUGAGCUAACUGAUACUAAUUGCUCGUGAGGCUUGAUCCU
rnacentral:rRNA from 1 species